UACAGAGGGUGCUAGCGUUGUUCGGAAUCAUUGGGCGUAAAGGGCGUGUAGGCGGUUUGCUAAGUCAUGUGUGAAAUCCCUCGGCUCAACCGGGGAACGACGCAUGAAACUGGCAAGCUAGAGUACCAAAGAGGGGGGUGGAAUUCCCGGUGUAGCGGUGAAAUGCGCAGAUAUCGGGAAGAACACCCGUGGCGAAGGCGGUUCUCUGGGACGGUACUGACGCUGAGACGCGAAAGCGUGGGGAGCGAACAGG
rnacentral:rRNA from 1 species